rnacentral:rRNA from 1 species
AACGAACGCUGGCGGCAUGCCUAACACAUGCAAGUCGAACGAGACCUUCGGGUCUAGUGGCGCACGGGUGCGUAACGCGUGGGAACCUGCCCUUAGGUUCGGAAUAACUCCCCGAAAGGGGUGCUAAUACCGGAUAAUGUCUUCGGACCAAAGAUUUAUCGCCUUUGGAUGGGCCCGCGUUGGAUUAGCUAGUUGGUAGGGUAAAAGCCUACCAAGGCGACGAUCCAUAGCUGGUCUGAGAGGAUGAUCAGCCACACUGGGACUGAGACACGGCCCAGACUCCUACGGGAGGCAGCAGUGGGGAAUAUUGGACAAUGGGCGAAAGCCUGAUCCAGCAAGGCCGCGUGAGUGAUGAAGGCCUUAGGGUUGUAAAGCUCUUUUACCCGGGAUGAUAAUGACAGUACCGGGAGAAUAAGCCCCGGCUAACUCCGU